rnacentral:rRNA from 1 species
UACGUAGGGUGCAAGCGUUAAUCGGAAUUACUGGGCGUAAAGCGUGCGCAGGCGGUCGUGCAAGACAGAUGUGAAAUCCCCGGGCUUAACUUGGGAACUGCAUUUGUGACUGCACGGCUGGAGUGCGGCAGAGGGGGAUGGAAUUCCGCGUGUAGCAGUGAAAUGCGUAGAUAUGCGGAGGAACACCGAUGGCGAAGGCAAUCCCCUGGGCCUGCACUGACGCUCAUGCACGAAAGCGUGGGGAGCAAAC